rnacentral:rRNA from 1 species
UAAAUUGCUGUGGUAUUUUGACUAUACAAAGGUAUUGAAAUAAGACUUUAAUUGAGUGCUAAGAGAAUGGAUUUUCAAAAAAAUGCUUUCUUCAAUUUAAAAAUUGAAGCUAUUUUUUUUUGUGAAGAAACAAAAAUAAAAAUUAAAGACAAGAAGACCCUAAGAAUUUUUAUAAAUUUAUUGUAUAAAUGUAUAAUAUAUUUAUUUAAUUGGGGCGAUUAAAAAAUAUUUUAAACUUUUUUUUUAAAAAAAAGAUCCAUUAGUAAUGAUUUUUUGAAAAAAAUACUCUAGGGAUAACAGCGUAAUAAUUUUAGAUAGAUCUUAUAGAAAAAAUAGUUUGCGACCUCGAUGUUGGAUUAGGAUUCUUAUUUAAUGAAGAAGUUAAAAAAAGAAGUUUGUUCAACUUUUAAAUUCCUACUUGA